rnacentral:rRNA from 1 species
GUGGGGAAUAUUGGACAAUGGGGGGAACCCUGAUCCAGCCAUGCCGCGUGUGUGAAGAAGGCCUUUUGGUUGUAAAGCACUUUAAGUGGGGAGGAGGCUUACCUGGUUAAUACCUGGGCUAAGUGGACGUUACCCACAGAAUAAGCACCGGCUAACUCUGUGCCAGCAGCCGCGGUAAUACAGAGGGUGCGAGCGUUAAUCGGAUUUACUGGGCGUAAAGCGCGCGUAGGUGAUUAAUUAAGUCAAAUGUGAAAUCCCCGAGCUUAACUUGGGAAUUGCAUUCGAUACUGGUUAGCUAGAGUAUGGGAGAGGAUGGUAGAAUUCCAGGUGUAGCGGUGAAAUGCGUAGAGAUCUGGAGGAAUACCGAUGGCGAAGGCAGCCAUCUGGCCUAAUACUGACACUGAGGUGCGAAAGCAUGGGGAGCAAACAGGAUUAGAAACCCGAGUAGUCC